rnacentral:tRNA from 1 species
GGAAAUGUGCCCGAACCCAGGGAUCACUAUGAUAAAGUGAGCAUAGAGGUAACCAGUCCUCUCAUUUCCU